rnacentral:lncRNA from 1 species
CAGAACAUCCCAACGUCGAUCUCAAACCAUCCUAACAAUCGUAUGAGGCUAUGCCUAUGAGCUGAGGUUUUAGUGGAAACUGAAAAUGGGCACUGCCGCAAUGUGUUUCUGUGGACUGUAGUGUUGCGGGUGUUUAUGUGGCGCAGCGAACCUCCCACCACUUAGCAUCCAUCUACGUUUGUAUUUACUGCGUGUUUCCAGAAACAAAUUUCAGACAACUGCUAAUUAGCUGUGAUCUGUGAAUGGGACCUGUAAUCCAUGUGGCAAUUUAUGUGGCUUCGUCGACAUAAAUUCGGAUAGGGAAGCUGGGCUGAGUAUUGGUUCGCAGAAACUUAAUUUGUGUAUAGUAUUUGCCAAAGACUUUGUACCUUACGCCAAGAUCCAGGUGUAAUUCUUUGAAGUUCAAGCGCUGCUAAUAAUACCAAUAAUCCCCUUGUUACA